UACGGAGGGUGCAAGCAUUAAUCGGAUUUAUUGGGCGUAAAGGGCGCGUAGGCGGACGUACAAGUCAGAUGUGAAAUCCCGGGGCUCAACCCCGGAACAGCAUUUGAAACUGUACGACUAGAGGGUAGGCGGAGAAAACGGAACUCCACAUGUAGCGGUGAAAUGCGUAGAUAUGUGGAAGAAUACCGGUGGCGAAGGCGGUUUUCUAGCUUAUUCCUGACGCUGAGGCGCGAAAGCAAGGGGAUCAAACAGG
rnacentral:rRNA from 1 species